AGAGUGAACGCUGGCGGCAGGCCUAACACAUGCAAGUCGAACGGCAGCACAGCCGGAGCAAUCCGGUGGGUGGCGAGUGGCGGACGGGUGAGGAAUACAUCGGAAUCUACCUUGUCGUGGGGGAUAACGUAGGGAAACUUACGCUAAUACCGCAUACGAACUAUGGUUGAAAGCGGCGGACCGCAAGGCGUCGCGCGAUUGGAUGAGCCGAUGUCCGAUUAGCUAGGUUGGCGGGGUAAAGCCCACGAAGGCGACGAUCGGUAGCUGGUCUGAGAGGAUGAUCAGCCACACUGGAACUG
rnacentral:rRNA from 1 species